AUGUCUCCUGAUUGGGAAGACUUGUUUCCCUUGGUCUCUGUUCGUAAGUUGGUUAAAGAGCUUUCGGACCAUAAUCCCCUACUUCUUGAUGGGGGGGGGGGUCCUUCAAGGGCUCAGGGCAGCAGAUGUUUUAGGUUUGAUGUGACCUCGUUGAAUAACCCUGAUUUCCUCCCUCUUGUGGCUAAUAUUUGGUCUAAACCUGUGUAUACUGAGGAUCCUAUUGACACCCUUAAUAUUAAAUUGAAGAGGGUCAAAAAAUUCUUUAAAGGGUGGGGGUCAAACAUUUUU
rnacentral:rRNA from 1 species